UCCAAGCGUUAUCCGGAAUCAUUGGGUUUAAAGGGUCCGUAGGCGGCCAGAUAAGUCAGUGGUGAAAGCCCAUCGCUCAACGGUGGAACGGCCAUUGAUACUGUCUGGCUUGAAUUACAAGGAAGUAACUAGAAUAUGUAGUGUAGCGGUGAAAUGCUUAGAGAUUACAUGGAAUACCAAUUGCGAAGGCAGGUUACUACUUGUGGAUUGACGCUGAUGGACGAAAGCGUGGGUAGCGAACAGGAUUAGAUACCCUGGUAGUCCACGCCGUAAACGAUGGAUACUAGCUGUUGGGAGUGAUCUCAGUGGCUAAGCGAAAGUGAUAAGUAUCCCACCUGGGGAGUACGGGCGCAAGCCUGAAACUCAAAGGAAUUGACGGGGGCCCGCACAAGCGGUGGAGCAUGUGGUUUAAUUCGGUGAUACGCGAGGAACCUUACCAAGGCUUAAAUGUAGAUUGACCGUUUUGGAAACAGAACUUUCGCAAGACAAUUUACAAGGUGCUGCAUGGUUGUCGUCAGCUCGUGCCGUGAGGUGUCAGGUUAAGUCCUAU
rnacentral:rRNA from 1 species